rnacentral:tRNA from 1 species
AGAGAUGAACUGUGGCUCAGAAGGUAGAGCCUCUGCUUGGCAUGCAGUAGGUCCCGGGUUCAAUCCCCAGCAUCUCCA